AGACUUGCAAAGUUAAAUUUAAAUGGAUUAAAUUUGUAAAAUUUAUAGGUAUAAAUUGAUAUUAUAUAUAUAAAACAAAGUAAGAAUGCUUUUCUCGUGCAUGCAUUAACUUAUAUAUAAAUUAGUUUGUUUUUUUUCAAAAAGAAAGUCAAAGAAGAAAAUAAUUAAAUUUGAGAAAAAGAAAGAAAUAAAGAGAAUGAAAGAGAGAAAAAGCAUUGGGGAGAGAAAUGCAUGGCUAAGAAUGCACUUUGGAAAUUGUGAUGCCUUUUAUUUACUAAAAAAACGAAAGCCUAGUACGACAUGUCGACAGCGGCUAAGCACCUGAUCCGCCCUUCCGUUUGUUCCGCUUCCUUUACGUUACACGUCGAAUCGAUGCCCCUACCUUUCCACUC
rnacentral:lncRNA from 1 species